GCUGGAAUUGUAUGAUUGUGAAGACAUCGCGAACCUUAAAGGUUGAGAAGUGAACGGAUUAUACGGCGAACUGAGACGACGUGAAAAAGGGGAUUGGAAGCGGCAUUGAUGUGAGUACUAAGAGCCAGUCGAAAGUGCCCUGUAUAUUGACCUGGCGUUGUGUAGAUCUCUCCAGGAGGAGGAGGGCGGCCCUACCCCUAAUAUAGCGUGGUGGGAGAGCCGAAGGAAUACUUAUUGAAGUAGUCACAACGACGACAUCACUAGCUAGGCCGCAUAUUCCAUCGCCAGAUCCGAACCAAGCGAAGUGAAGGAAGACGGGUGUCCUUUUCGUACACUGAGUGUGGGGGGUGAGUCUUCAUGCUGUGAAAACCUAUAAUUUUGACGUGGUGCUGUAUAUUGCUGUGGGCUGCUGUGUAUUGCCGUGUGUCCUGUCAGAUAAACCCCCGCCUUCACGCACUUCGUCGCGGGAGGACAAGGAGACUGCUGGUCCUAGCCUAGUUCAGUACAGUAUAUGUUGUGAGCGUGCUUCAGAUCUCCGGAGAUAGCACAGUACGCUGUGUCCAGCCCAGAGGUGAGAGCCAUUCAAAGCAAACUAACUGUGCUAUUGUGCCCAAGUUGAUACCUGUGGAGAGAAAAGGAGAGAGAGUGGGUAACACGAGGAGAGACCGAGGAAACCUGUACUUACGCCGCUGCCUGUGGAGAAAGAGAAAGCGAGUGAGCACCCAAGGAACGAACUGUGUGAACCAGUACUUACUGUGAGCUGUAAUCAGCGAAGAGGUGAGAGCCAUUCAAAGCAAACUAACUGUGCUAGUGUGCCCAAGUUGAUGCCUGUGGAGAGAAAAGGAGAGAGAGUGGGUAACACGAGGAGAGACCGAGGAAACCUGUACUUACGCCGCUGCCUGUGGAGAAAGAGAAAGCGAGUGAGCACCCAAGGAACGAACUGUGUGAACCAGUACUUACUGUGAGCUGUAAUCAGCGAAGAGGAGGAAGAAGGAGGGCGCUACGGAUACCUAAGACUCAGGCCGGGGCCCGAGUCCCACGCCCCGGAUCCCCGUGGCCCCCUUGCUCCCUGACCUCUUCCCGGCCAUAGCCCAUCUGGAGGGCCGAGUCAGAGUUUAGUUUUAAUUGCCCUUUCCCUAUUCCCCAAGCUAUUUUUAAAUAUUUAAAUAAAGAUUGUUUUAUCACUUACUUGUUCUCGUGUUGUUUGGCCAUUGGGUUGGCUUUGGGGACCUCCUCGAGGUGGAAGUUGAGAAGGGGUGUGGCUUAGUCAAAGCAUAGCCAGCCCCUGGGUGUGACACAAGUACAGCUACUAUGUGCUCAAAUUGGAAAGAUUCAAAUGAUCAAAAUGGUUUGUUAGGUGUACACUUCAAGAACAUGUCAAAUCAUCAACAAAAUUAGAUUUUAAAAAAACCUUCUCUAGCAUAAUUAUGGUUUCAGCAUUUUCAUUUCUUACACACCUAAAUUUUG
ensembl:lncRNA